rnacentral:lncRNA from 1 species
AACCACAGCAGGUAGCACCGCGCCCUGAGCUUGGAGUACUGGGCUCUCCGCCGGUCAGAGAGGGUCAGGCUCUACUGCCCUCAACCUGCCUUUCUCUACGUUCCGGAAUGCAGCCAAGAACGAAUAAAGGAAAUUACAUAGUAAGCGGAGAUCGAGUGUCUGAGCAGCGCCUUGGAUAAAAUCCACUCAUGACAGGACAGACAUUCUGAAGCAAAUGUUCAAGAUAAUGACUACUUAAGUUUUUGAAUCAGUAGGAGCUUUCCUGAAAAGUCUGCACCCAUUUUGUCUCUGCCAAUCAAUGAAUACAUCUAUGUAUAUACACACUUUCCUAUGUUCUGUGCAGUAUUAUACAUUACGAUUAAAGAAAAACCUUAAUAGUUUUGACCAAACUGAUGAAUGAGAACUAUGCCUCUUGCUUCAAUCUCAUAAACCUUGUAUUUAUUUAUGUGUGCACCUGUCUGUCUUGCAUGCAUGAAGAAAGGUCUGAAAAGGGUCUGGAAACCCUUGGAGCUACAGUUAUGGAUCUUGUGAAAUGCCUGCCUUGCUAUGUUGGUGUUGGAACCUGAACUCCAGCCUCAAGACUGCAGA